ensembl:snRNA U2 U2 spliceosomal RNA
UUCGCUUCUCGGCCUUUUGGCUAAGAUCAAGUGUAGUAUCUGUUCUUAUCAGUUUUAUAUCUGAUACGUCCCCUAUCUGAGGAUCAUAUAUUACAUAGAUUUUUGGAACAGGGAAAUGGAAUAGGGGCUUGCUCCGUCCACUCCACACAUCGGCCUGGUAGUGCAGUUAGGUGGAGUGGUGGCUCUGAG